CCCCUUAGCUGUUAUAAAUUCACUGUAAACCAUGGCUUCUUGGGGCUUAUUGCUUUAUUAUGUACGGGUGGUUUAUGUAUAAUACAUACAGAAAUUUGUUCUUCUUACGCACAAUUUAAGGACAAACAUUUAUACACAAAAACGUUCUGCGUGUACGAAAAUUUAAAUAAAAUGAGUUUCAUGAAUGGGUCCCUUUUGUUUUUUUAGCCGGCACAAAGUUUGGCAGAUCCAGUUUUGGCUAAAGAUUACAAAUAACGUGGACGAAUAUACAACGAACAACCAGUCAUAGCACAGACACACAUCUGUACACAGUCAAACAAAACCCACACGCACACAUAUUAAAUGUGCAGCAAUGUAUUCCAGCCGAUUCAUACUGAUCGACGUGUUAAGGCAACGGCAGAGCUUGGGUAUAAAAUAGUGCUAUAGAGUAAACUGGUUUGAGGGGGCUGCCUGUAAACUACGUUUGUAAACAAUAUUUUUACGGGCCGUUCGAAAGAUGUGUAAACGUUUACAGCAAAGUGCUACAGGCGCUAUCGAACACUGUGGAUCAUGCUGAACUACUUUGGCAUCAGGACGGAGUUUUGCUUGUCCUACGAACGUAAAAUAGUCCUGAUAAAGGCAGCAGAAAGCGAGACUACACGGAGACUUUCGAGUUUAACGUAGAGGAACACCGAUCAGCUGUUGCGUAAUGAUUAUGUGGCUGUCGUGAUGGCCCUGUAUUAUAUUAUGAUGGUCAAAAGUUCAACGCCUGAUUCACAAUUCACAAAAAUACGUUAAUAUUUUGUCCCAUCACACAUAAAUUGUUCACCGACAAACAUGAUACAUCAGAUGAAUUUGUCCUGUCAAAUUUUGGGCCUUCUGUGGUGUAAGUGCAUUGUGUGUGUGUGUGUGUGUGUGUGUGUGUAUGCGUGCAUGUGUGUGUGUGUGUGCUUGUGAGAGCGAUUAUGACACAUGGGCACUUUUUACAUCUUUACAAAUAAAGAAAAAAGAAAGAAAUCAAAAACAUGAACAGUUUCAGGCAACAAGACCACAGAAGAGCAAGUUAACAACCUUUUUUAAAUCUACAUCUUUAAAUAUGAGGGUUCCAUACAAAACACUUACGUAA